GGAAGAAUGGUAAUUUACUAUUUGAAUAUUGUGGUUUGGUAUAUGAAUUAAAAUACUUUUGUGCAAUUUGUAAAUUUUAUUUGAAAAACUGAAAAUAUGGAUGUAGGAGAACUUCUUUCAUUCAAACCUGAACAAACACCAAAGCGGCAUUUGGAUACUGAUGAUGAUUACGAUGCUCCACCCAUUAAAAAGGCAAUUAAAGAAUCAAAAAACGAAAUUCGAGUUAAAAGAAUAGCAGAAGCUAAAGCAACUUUAGAUAAACCAUCAGCACCCAUUACAAAAUUAGAUUUAUCAUUGACAGAAGAAGAAAAACUUAAUAUAGUGAAAUACGUUGAAAGUGAAGAAGCUGAAGGUGAGGUACUCGACGAAAAUGGCUUAAAGAAAAUGAUUUUACUCUUCGAAAAAAGAAAUUUGAAAAAUCAAGAGAUGCGUAUGAAACAUCCAGAUAAUCCUGAAAAAUUUAUGGAAAGUGAAGUUGAUUUACAUGAAACAAUUUUAGAAUUAAAAGUCGUAGCAACUGUUCCCGAUUUAUAUCCUAUUCUAGUAGAUUUACACGCUAUUCCCAGUCUUUUAGAAUUGUUAUCACACCCAAAUACAGACAUUUCAGUUGCUAUUGUUGAUUUAAUACAAGAAAUGACCGAUGUCGAUAUCUUACAUGAAAGUGUUGAAGGAGCAGAAAUUCUUAUAGAAUGCUUACGGCAACAACAGAUAUGCGCGCUAUUAGUGCAAAAUUUGGAAAGACUUAAUGAAAGUGUUAAAGAGGAAAGUGAUGGUGUACAUAAUUCAUUAUCAAUAAUCGAAAAUUUAACAGAAAUGCAAUCGGAAAUAAUUCGUGAAGCAACUGAUCAGGGCCUAUUAGGAUGGAUAUUGAAAAGGUUAAAGCAAAAAACUCCAUUUGAUCCAAAUAAAUUAUAUUGUAGUGAAAUUUUAUCAAUUUUGCUACAAACUGAGAAUGAAAAUCGUUUGACAUUAGGAAAUUUAGAUGGAAUAGAUGUUUUAUUACAGCAGUUAGCUGUAUAUAAAAGACAUGAUCCACAUUCAUCUGAAGAACAAGAAUAUAUGGAAAAUAUGUUUAAUUGUCUGUGUUCAGCUCUAAUGGUCAAAGAAAAUCGCGAAAGAUUUUUGAAAGGCGAAGGUUUGCAAUUGAUGAAUCUUAUGUUGCGUGAAAAAAAAAUGUCUAGGAAUGGCUCUUUAAAAGUCCUAGAUCAUGCUAUGGGGGGACAAGAUGGUAAAGACAAUUGUAAUAAAUUCGUGGAUAUUUUAGGUUUAAGAACAAUUUUUCCACUUUUUAUGAAAACCCCAAAACGAAAUAAAAAGCGUUUGCUGAGUAUAGAUGAACAUGAGGAACAUGUGGUUUCAGUAAUUGCUAGUAUGCUUAGAAACUGUAAAGGUGUUCAAAGGCAAAGAUUAAUAUCAAAAUUUACGGAAAAUGAUCAUGAAAAGGUUGAUAGAUUGUUGGAAUUACAUUUAAAGUACUUAGAAAAAGUCGAAGCUGUCGAGAAGGAAAUUGAUGCUCAACCAGAAGAUCCUAAUAUUGAUGAAGAUGAGAUGGCUGAUACAAAUUAUAUCAAAAAGCUUUCUGGUGGUCUUUUUACACUACAAUUAAUAGAUUACAUCAUUUUAGAAGUGAGUGCAGCCAUUGAUACUGUGAAACAAAGAGUAGUAAAAAUAUUGAAUUUAAGAGGAGCCUCAAUGAAAACGAUCAGAAAUUUAAUGAGAGAGUAUGCUGGAAAUUUGGGAGAUGCAGGUGAUGCUGAUUGGAGAGAUCAAGAGCAGGCACAUAUAAUUUCAUUAGUUGAUAGGUUUUAAUUGUCAUUUUUAUGCAAACACACUGUUGUACAAUUUUAUAAAGUUUUUUUUUUAAUUUGAGCUAAUUUAAAGUUCUGGAAUCUCAAAGUUGACAUCUAUAUUAACGUCACGUGCCAAUUCUACAAUUUCUGCUAAACGAACUGCUAAGUUAGCAGCCUCACUUAAAUCGUCACGAGCAGAAGCAGUGGCCCCACCACCAACAUCUAAAAAAUUAGCCGCAUCACCUCCAUGUAAUUUAAUUAUAUCCAUUGUAGCCAUGGCCAAUCCUGCACCAUUAACCAUGCAUCCA